AGUGAACGCUGGCGGCGUGCUUAACACACGCAAGUCGAACGAGAACGGAUUAUAGCUUGCUAUAAUUGUCAGCUAAGUGGCGCACGGGUGAGUAAUGUAUAGGUAAUAUGCCUCUUACUAAGGGAUAACAAAUGGAAACGUUUGCUAAUACCUUAUACUCCUUAUUAACAGAAGUUAAUAAGGGAAAGAUUUAUUGGUAAGAGAUUAGCCUGUAUUGUAUCAGUUAGUUGGUGGGGUAAUGGCUUACCAAGACUAUGACACAUAACUGGUUUGAGAGGAUGAUCAGUCACACUGGAACUGAGACACGGUCCAGACUCCUACGGGAGGCAGCAGUGGGGAAUAUUGCACAAUGGACGAAAGUCUGAUGCAGCAACGCCGCGUGGAGGAUGACACAUUUCGGUGCGUAAACUCCUUUUAUGAGUGAAGAUAAUGACAGUAACUCAAGAAUAAGGGACGGCUAACUACGUGCCAGCAGCCGCGGUAA
rnacentral:rRNA from 1 species